rnacentral:rRNA from 1 species
AUGAUCAUACAAAAAUUUUAUGCCGAAUUGAAUUUUGCUUCUAGAAAUCUUUUAGAUUCGGCCGCGGGAGGCACGUUUAUGGAAAUCACAUUAGGAGAAGCUACCAAACUCCUUGAUAACAUUAUGGCUAAUUAUUCUCAAUGGCACACCGAAAGAUCUACUAAUAAAAAAGUGUAUGCUAUAGAAGAAAUUAAUGUUUUAAGUGGAAAGAUGGAUGAACUUAUGAAAUUGUUUGCUACUAAGAGUGCUCCUAUUGAUCCCAAUGAUAUGCCUUUGUCUACUUUGAUUGAGAAUAAUAAUGAAUCUAUGGAUGUGAAUUUUGUUGGUAGGAAUAAUUUUGGUAACAAUGCUUAUAGAGGAAACUUUAAUCCUAGACCGUUCCCUAGUAAUUCCUCUAAUAAUUAUGGAAAUUCCUACAAUAAUUCUUAUGGUAAUUUUAAUAAGAUGCUCUCUGAUUUUGAGAAUAGUGUGAAAGAAUUUAUGAUCUCUCAAAAGAAUUUUAAUGCCUUGCUUGAAGAAAAAUUGCUUAAAGUUGACGAUUUGGCUAGGAACGUUGAUAGACUUUCGCUUGUUGUUGAUUCUUUGAAACUUAGAUAUACUCCUCCUAAGCAUGAUAUCAAUGAGUCUCUCAAAGCUAUGAGAAUUUCCAUUGAUGAGUGCAAGGAGAGAACCGCUAGAUUGCGUGCUAAGAAAGAUUGCUUUGUAAAAGUGUGUUCUUCUAGUUUCCAAGAAAAUAAUGAUGAAAAUCUAAAAGUUAUUGAUGUGUCCCCUAUUAGAUCCUUGUUUUGCAAUAUGAAUCUUUAUAAUUAUGGGAUUGGAGAUGAGUCAGCUUUAGUUAAAAGGCGUCCCAAUGAUUCGGAGUUUUUAGAUCUUGAUGCUAAAUUUGGUAAAAGUGGGAUUGGAGAGGUCAAAACUUUAAAUAGCAUUGAACCCACUAUCUUGGAUUUGAAGUAA